AUGAUGGAGAUGGAGUACUUGGGAUCAGCAGAAUUCUCAAACUACGGAACCAACUGGUUUCAAACCGGGGGAACAAAAUCCGGAGCGAGGACCCCAACAGUUUGGAAGAUAUCUUUAGAAAAGGUUUUAGCACCGGUGUAUCCUAUAUGUACUCUAGUUUAUUCGAAGUAUCCCAAUGGUGUAACGCCGUCGACUUAUUGGGAAAUAGGAGGAAAAUCACUUUUAUCUCUUGUUUCGGAGAAAUAA
rnacentral:lncRNA from 1 species